rnacentral:rRNA from 1 species
AACGAACGCUGGCGGCAUGCCUAACACAUGCAAGUCGAACGAGACCUUCGGGUCUAGUGGCGCCCGGGUGCGUAACGCGUGGGAACCUGCCCUUAGGUUCGGCCUAACUCCCCGAAAGGGGUGCUAAUACCGGACCAUGUCUUCGGACCAAAGAUUUAUCGCAUUGGGAUGGGCCCGCGUUGGAUUAGCUAGUUGGUAGGGUAAAAGCCUAACAAGGGGACCAUCAAUAACUGGGCUGAGAGGAUGCUCAGCCACGCUGGGACUGAGACACGGCCCAGACUCUUACGGGAGGCAGGAGUGGGGAAUAUUGGACAAUGGGCGAAAUCCUGAUCCAGCAAUGCCGCGUGAGUGAUGAAGGCAUGAGGGUUGUAAAGUGCUUUUACCCGUGAUGAUAAUGACAGUACCUGGAGAAUAAGCCCCGGCUAACUCCGUG